AUAUGUUUCAGUCUUAUCC
rnacentral:siRNA from 1 species